rnacentral:rRNA from 1 species
CACAUGCAAGUCGGACGGUAGCACAGAGAGCUUGCUCUCGGGUGACGAGUGGCGGACGGGUGAGUAAUGUCUGGGGAUCUGCCCGAUAGAGGGGGAUAACCACUGGAAACGGUGGCUAAUACCGCAUAACGUCGCAAGACCAAAGAGGGGGACCUUCGGGCCUCUCACUAUCGGAUGAACCCAGAUGGGAUUAGCUAGUAGGCGGGGUAAUGGCCCACCUAGGCGACGAUCCCUAGCUGGUCUGAGAGGAUGACCAGCCACACUGGAACUGAGACACGGUCCAGACUCCUACGGGAGGCAGCAGUGGGGAAUAUUGCACAAUGGGCGCAAGCCUGAUGCAGCCAUGCCGCGUGUAUGAAGAAGGCCUUCGGGUUGUAAAGUACUUUCAGCGGGGAGGAAGGCGACGCGGUUAAUAACCGCGUCGAUUGACGUUACCCGCAGAAGAAGCACCGGCUAACUCCGUGCCAGCAGCCGCGGUAAUACGGAGGGUGCAAGCGUUAAUCGGAAUUACUGGGCGUAAAGCGCACGCAGGCGGUCUGUUAAGUCAGAUGUGAAAUCCCCGGGCUUAACCUGGGAACUGCAUUGAAAC